ACGCCUCCAGGCCAUCUAGCUCGCUCGGAUUACGGCCGUCGGCGGCGGUGCUUCCAGAGGUGAGCGGCAUGGCAGGGGCGGGGGCGGAGGAGGCGGUGGUGGGCGAGAGCUUCGAGUUCGCCUUUGACAAGGAGGCCUUCUCCGACAAGAAGCUGCGGGUCGAGGUCGUCGGCAGCGACGACGCCGCCAGCCGCAAGCGCCGCCGCGAGGACGACAAAAGUGAGCACAGCACCUCCGGCAGAUCCAUCGCAUCUCCCCCACUUCUUUGCGCGCAAAUUAAACCCCUACGCAACUCGGAUCUGGAUUUGUGUGAUUUUCUCCUCUGUUCGUUCGUUAGGGAUCUGUGGGUAGGUAAAGGGGGAGCAAAACAGAGGAGAUGUUUUUCUUAAAUAAAAAAAGUUUGGAUUUUUGAGCUGUACGCCUGUACUCUACGAUGUAAUCCAGGCGACUGAUUUGGAUGCAGCACAUCUGUGGCCACAUAUUUGGAUGUAGCAGUAGUUUUCAGCAGACUGCAUCAUACCAUUACCAGUAAGAUAUAGUACUCCUUAGAAUUUAUUUUGCAUGCGAUAGGUCUGCAGGACCAGCGGGAUGCGGACUGGUUAAGGGUAGUUACUAUGUGUGAUUCGUGUUUCCGUGGCUGUCUGUGUGAUCCAGGCAGCACAAUUCUUCAGACUCAGAUCCAAGGAAAACAAGCUGAUCAAUUAUUUCACAUCUUUCACAAGAGAAACGUGAUUUGCUUGAUUGCUGCAUUGAAUCUGCAGUUGUUAAAUCUCUGGAUGUAGCAUCGAAAGGUCCAACACAAGUAGAAGGACAGAUUCAUCAAAACUGUUAUAUUUCUGAAUGUAUACAUGGAUAUGUAGAAAUAUGUUUAGGUUUUUAUUUUUUUUUGCGAAUAAGAAAUAUAUUUAGUUAGGAGGUGUGGAGUGAGGAGCUCCUAAAUCUCUAGAACUCUCUCCAUAACCCUGCUCUCUGUUCCACAUUUCAUCUCAAUUUCUGUCGUUUUGCAUUGAUACAUUUACAGUCGAUAUUAUUCUGCUCAUAAUCACUUACUUUUAGUUAGUACGAACACUUGUGCACUGUCGUACACACCGGUAAUGUUGGUACAGUACUAGCACAGUCCAUUCGUCAACUAUAUGUAGUACUAGUUGACUAUUUUUUCAUAAACGAGCAACAUACUAUUUACGACCCAGUCCUAGUGAGAUACCAUGCUACUGCUUCUAGUUGGUUGGGAGGUAUGGAAUACUGAUUAAUUACAUAAAAGAAGAUAACAUUGCAAGACUUUAGUCUGGUGUUUGUCACUUGAGUGCAAGUUGAACAAAAUUCUAAUAAGAUCCCUGUGGUAACUUUUGUGAAUACUUCACUCACCGACAUAUGAGCGUGCUUAUUAUGCUUGAUGCAGCUCAAUAGGUGUCCAGUUUUUUGUAUGUUCAACAUUUUGUUGCUUUUCUAUAGGUUGAUUAAAUGAAUGUGCGACAUAGAGAACAUGUUGUUCCAAAUAUUUGAACAGCAAAAAUCUUGUCUAGGAAUUUCGUUAAAAACCUUCCACUCCCUAAUUUUGCACACUUUCUCUGUAUUUAUCUGACAUUGGUAUUUUGCAGGUGAUGAAGGAGAAUGUGUUGAUUCUUCUUCUAUAGUGAUGGCUGCACCAACUUUACGAGUCACUACCAUGCAUAUCAAUUCGGCCAUUCUUGC
rnacentral:lncRNA from 1 species